rnacentral:rRNA from 1 species
CAACUUUCAACAACGGAUCUCUUGGCUCUCGCAUCGAUGAAGAACGCAGCGAAAUGCGAUAAGUAAUGUGAAUUGCAGAAUCCAGUGAAUCAUCGAAUCUUUGAACGCACCUUGCACCCUUUGGUAUUCCAAAGGGUAUGCUCAUUUGAGUGUCAUUG